rnacentral:rRNA from 1 species
GACGAACGCUGGCGGCGUGCCUAAUACAUGCAAGUCGAACGAGAGCGACCGGUGCUUGCACUGGUCAAUCUAGUGGCGAACGGGUGAGUAACACGUGGGUAACCUGCCCAUCAGAGGGGGAUAACAUCCGGAAACGGAUGCUAAAACCGCAUAGGUCUUCGAGCCGCAUGGCUUGAAGAGGAAAAGAGGCGCAAGCUUCUGCUGAUGGAUGGACCCGCGGUGCAUUAGCUAGUCGGUGAGGUAACGGCUCACCAAGGCCGUGAUGCAUAGCCGACCUGAGAGGGUGAUCGGCCACAUUGGGACUGAGACACGGCCCAAACUCCUACGGGAGGCAGCAGUAGGGAAUCUUCCGCAAUGGACGCAAGUCUGACGGAGCAACGCCGCGUGAGUGAAGAAGGUUUUCGGAUCGUAAAACUCUGUUGUUAGAGAAGAACAAGUGCUAGAGUAACUGUUAGCGCCUUGACGGUAUCUAACCAGAAAGCCACGGCUAACUACGUG